rnacentral:misc_RNA from 1 species
AACCAUAGAAACCUGCGGAGUACCUGCGGAAGGAUCAUUACCGAGUUUACAACUCCCAAACCCCUGUGAACAUACCUAUACGUUGCCUCGGCGGAUCAGCCCGCGCCCUGUAAAAAGGGACGGCCCGCCCGAGGACCCUAAACUCUGUUUUUAGUGGAACUUCUGAGUAAAACAAACAAAUAAAUCAAAACUUUCAACAAUGGAUCU